rnacentral:rRNA from 1 species
UACAGAGGUGGCAAGCGUUGUUCGGAAUUACUGGGCGUAAAGGGCGCGUAGGCGGCCUUCUAAGUCAGACGUGAAAUCCCCCGGCUUAACCUGGGAACUGCGUCGGAUACUGGAUGGCUUGAAUCCGGGAGAGGGAUGCGGAAUUCCAGGUGUAGCGGUGAAAUGCGUAGAUAUCGGGAGGAACACCUGUGGCGAAAGCGGCUCACUGGACAGUAACUGACGCUGAUGCACGAAAGCUAGGGGAGCAAACAGG